AAUGGCAAAUGAUGUGAAAAUUGUCUUAUCCUACACACUGAAAAAAUGUUGUGAAGAUCAAAUACUCCGCUUAUUAUCUGAUGCCUUU